UCGUCAAUCCCUCUUUCAUCUCGCAUCUCUCUCACCACGCGACCGAAAAUCCCCCGCCGCCCCACUCCACCGCUCCCACCGCUCUCCUUCACCACCGGUCCACCACCGUCGCCUAGUGUCUAUUCUUAUCUCUUUAUUGUUAAUUUUAUAUUUGCUCUUUCUCUUUCUCUCACUUAAUUUCUCAUCUCUCUCUCUCACAGUGGUUGCCGCGUUCCACCUCCGCUCCAUCACCGCCUGAACACCUUUGACGGUGAAGUCUCUCAUUCGUCGUCGCCGUCGCCAUCCCCUACUCGAUUUCAGGUAAGCUUGUCCCAAUUUUCGGACAGAGGGCUUUAAGCAUAGGGCUUGAUUUUUGAAAUUUCUGCGGGUUUAGCUAGUAGCUUAGUUCUAAUUUCUCAUCUCUCUCUCACAGCUGUUGCCGCGUUCCACCACCUCCGCUCCACCAUCGCCUGAACACCUUUGACGGUGAAGUCUCUCAUUCGCCGUCGCCAUCCCUUAC
rnacentral:lncRNA from 1 species